rnacentral:misc_RNA from 1 species
GAUGAAGAACGUAGCGAAAUGCGAUAAGUAAUGUGAAUUGCAGAAUUCAGUGAAUCAUCGAAUCUUUGGACGCACAUUGCGCCCCCUGGUAUUCCGGGGGGCAUGCCUGUUCGAGCGUCAUUUCACCACUCAAGCCUCGCUUGGUAUUGGGCAUCGCGGUCCGCCGCGCGCCUCAAAUCGACCGGCUGGGUCUUCUGUCCCCUAAGCGUUGUGGAAACUAUUCGCUAAAGGGUGUUCGGGAGGCUACGCCGUAAAACAACCCCAUUUCUAAGGUUGACCUCGGAUCAGGUAGGGAUACCCGCUGAACUUAAGCAUAUCAAUAAGCGGAGGA